rnacentral:rRNA from 1 species
AGUGAACGCUGGCGGUAGGCCUAACACAUGCAAGUCGAACGGCAGCACAGUAAGAGCUUGCUCUUACGGGUGGCGAGUGGCGGACGGGUGAGGAAUACAUCGGAAUCUACUUUUUCGUGGGGGAUAACGUAGGGAAACUUACGCUAAUACCGCAUACGACCUACGGGUGAAAGCAGGGGAUCUUCGGACCUUGCGCGAUUGAAUGAGCCGAUGUCGGAUUAGCUAGUUGGCGGGGUAAAGGCCCACCAAGGCGACGAUCCGUAGCUGGUCUGAGAGGAUGAUCAGCCACACUGGAACUGAGACACGGUCCAGACUCCUCCGGGAGGCAGCAGUGGGGAAUAUUGGACAAUGGGCGGAAGCCUGAUCCAGCCAUACCGCGUGGGUGAAGAAGGCCUUCGGGUUGUAAAGCCCUUUUGUUGGGAAAGAAAAGCAGCAGGUUAAUACCCCGCUGUUCUGACGGUACCCAAAGAAUAAGCACCGGCUAACUUCGUG